rnacentral:rRNA from 1 species
AGGACGAACGCUCGGCGGCGUGCUUAACACAUGCAAGUGGUGCGACGAACCAGGGCUUGCCCUAGGGCCAAGCCGCGAACGGGUGAGGUAACACGUGAGUAACCUGCCCCGAUGACCGGGGACGAACCCGACGGGAAACUCGGGCUAAUACCGGAUGUGGCGCACAGGUGUAAGCCUGUUCGCUAAAGGAAGCUUCGGCCUCCGCAUUGGGAGGGGCUCGCGGCCCAUUAGCUUGUUGGUGGGGUAACGGCCCACCAAGGGCUUCGAUGGGUAGGCUGGUCUGAGAGGACGAUCAGCCACACUGGGACUGAGACACGGCCCAGACUCCUACGGGAGGCAGCAGUGGGGAAUCUUGCGCAAUGCGCGAAAGCGUGACGCAGCAACGCCGCGUGGGGGAAGACGGCCUUCGGGUUGUAAACCCCUUUCAGGAGGGACGAAGGUUCGGCGGUUAAUAGCCGUCCGGACUGACGGUACCUCCAGAAGAAGCUCCGGCUAACUACGUG